CGCCGUCAGAGGCAACUCUGCCGGUGAUUAAGCAGAAGUCAGCAGAAGGCAUAGUAGUCAAAUGCCCGGCGUAAUGGCCGGGACACGACGAAGGCC
rfam:Endozoicomonas numazuensis strain DSM 25634 scaffold00003, whole genome shotgun sequence.